CUGGGAGGGAGGACCUACGUGGAGGGGAGGAGGAGAAGGUGCCUGUGGGUUUUCUGCUGCCCGGAUUAGUGUGCCCUGUACCCAGACACACCAGCGCCACAGUUCAGGAGUAACCAUUCCUUCAACUCUUAAAAUCUGGGGAGGACAGAUCAUGACCAUCACAGCCUGCCUGAGACAGGUUAGUACUACAUAUAUAGGUCUGGUCUAAUUGGUCGGUGCAUACUGAUUUAGAAAUUUUUCUGGGAGUCAUUUAUUAUUCUUUCAUGAAAUAAGGGCUAUGAUUUAACAUUGAUUAAUAUGAUUGAUUAAUGUGAUUAACACAAUUUCAAAAAUCAUGUCAACAGCCCUUUGGACAGGGGAAAUCAGCUACUGUUCCCUUUCUACCCGACCUGGUUCAAGCUUUUCCUGCAAGAGCAGGUGGAUGUUCAUCACCCCAGCACACACACCAGCAGCCCUUUCCACAUCAGGCCAGGUCCAAGAGUAGUAAUUUCCACCUUCCUAUAACUGUAUUCUUUAGAGGUUGUUCUGCUCCCCGGGGCUACACAGAUAGAGCCUUAGUCUGGUGCCAGUCAUGUGUUUCCUUUACUUUGUCUCCUCCUUAAACCUCUCUUCAGUCUCUUCCCCAUUCAGGGAACAGAGUCCAGAUCCUUGAUUUUUGCUUGAAGAUGUGCAGAGAACAUUAAAAACGACCACAGAGAAUGGUGGCACCUGCCCUGUAGUCCCAGUUACUAGAGAGGCUGAAACAGGAGGAUCACUGGAGCCCAACCAUUCAAGGGCAACCUGGGCAACAUAGUGAGACCUCUCAAAAACAAGCAAAAGGCAAACAAAUAACCCAAAAA